GAAUGAUUGCAUCUAAAUUUGUACUUAUUAGCUUUUAAGAUCCGAGAAGUUGAAAUCGUACUUAGCCAGGUUUGUAGAAUUUGGGUGCCCCAUAGUGCAAAAUUGAUUAGAGUGUUUUGAUAAUGAUGCAUUGAUGGAAGUAAACACAUAAAUGACCUAAACCUAAUCAAAAGUCACUUCUAAAGUAGGAUUAGUUGAGCUAUGAAAAUCAAAGGUAGCUACACGUAUCUCACAACACGUUACAUAUGUCGAUACUAUCAUAAUAAUCAACCGUUGAUUAUUCUUCAACGUCUAAAAAAGCUUCCACAACUUGUAAUUUCUGCCAACAAAAGUCAUCGAAAUAAGUCCCCAACUUUUUUAUCAAUCUUGACCAAGAAUUGGCGUCCGUAAGAAAACUUAAUUCCUUUAUUCAAGGUACGACGACUUAAUAGCAUCAUAUUUAUUCUUCCUUACCUGAUAACGAAAGCUCAAGCUUUUUGUACCGGUUCUCUAAUUCUUCAGCUGAUUCUACAAGUCUGACCGCAAUCAUCCAAAACAACGAACGUCAAGGUCUACAUUGGAUAUGAGUUUCACUUGAGCUUUAACAUAGCAAGAGAAAUUCACACUUGGGACUCUGAUUUUACUGAUCAAUUUUGAAACUCUCAAACGAUGCAGAUCAUUAUCUUCAUAGUUCAUACCAAGAAAAUCAAAAUGUAGCUGGAAAGUGAAAUUGAACCACGCACUGGUUGAACAAAUUUCGAAACUUAGUGCCGAUUGUGUAAUUUCUAAUUUGGAUCAAU